UACAGAGGAGCCAAGCGUUGUCCGGAUUGACUGGGCGUAAAGCGCACGCAGGCGGUUGCGCGCGUGGGGUGUGAAAUCUGGCCGCUUAACGGCCAGGCGCCAUCCCAUACGGCGCGACUGGAGUGAUGCAGAGGUCGAUGGAAUUGCCGGUGUAGUGGUGAAAUGCGUAGAGAUCGGGCAGGAACACCCAGGGGGAAACCAGUCGACUGGGCAUCUACUGACGCUGAGGUGCGAGAGCGGUGGGGAGCGAACCGG
rnacentral:rRNA from 1 species